UACAGAGGUCUCAAGCGUUGUUCGGAUUCAUUGGGCGUAAAGGGUGCGUAGGCGGCGCGGUAAGUCGGGUGUGAAAUCUCGGAGCUUAACUCCGAAACUGCAUUCGAUACUGCCGUGCUAGAGGACUGGAGAGGAGACUGGAAUUUACGGUGUAGCGGUGAAAUGCGUAGAUAUCGUAAGGAAGACCAGUGGCGAAGGCGGGGUCUCUGGACAGUUCCCUGACGCUGAGGCACGAAGGUCAGGGGGAGCAAACGGGG
rnacentral:rRNA from 1 species